rnacentral:rRNA from 1 species
UACGUAGGGUGCGAGCGUUGUCCGGAAUUAUUGGGCGUAAAGGGCUCGUAGGCGGUCUGUUGCGUCAGGAGUGAAAACUCGGGGCUUAACCCCGAGCCUGCUUCUGAUACGGGCAGACUAGAGGUAUGCAGGGGAGAACGGAAUUCCUGGUGUAGCGGUGAAAUGCGCAGAUAUCAGGAGGAACACCAGUGGCGAAGGCGGGUCCCUGGACAACACCUGACACUGAGGCACGAAAGCUAGGGGAGCAAACAGG